UGGGCGGGACGGGGUGGAGUAAUGUCUGGGAAACUGCCCGAUGGAGGGGGGUAACUACUGGAAACGGUAGCUAAUACCGCAUAACGUCGCAAGACCAAAGAGGGGGACCUUCGGGCCUCUUGCCAUCGGAUGUGCCCAGAUGGGAUUAGCUAGUAGGUGGGGUAACGGCUCACCUAGGCGACGAUCCCUAGCUGGUCUGAGAGGAUGACCAGCCACACUGGAACUGAGACACGGUCCAG
rnacentral:rRNA from 1 species